AAGCCGAGGGCCGGCCGGGGAAAGGGAGCCAGCGUGUUUGGUGACGUCAGCAGCGUCGCCCAGCAGCCACGUCCGCUAACAGCCGGGCAAGGACUCAUCCGGUACUUUAUCGUGACUUAUCAAGGACAUGGCGGACGACGGCGACUAUUCUAGCAUGAAGCGGGAAAGGUCGCGUUCCCCACUAGAUGAUGACAGCCGUGACAGGGAUGGCGAUAAUGACCAUGAUGGUGACCGAGACAGAGGCCGCCGCAUGGACAGGGGCAGGCGCAUGGACAGACCAAGGGGUGGUGGCCGAAGGGGCUCGGAGGACACCCGCAUUUAUGUGUCUAACAUUCCCUAUGAGUACAAAUGGCAGGACCUGAAGGACUUGUUUCGGAAGGAAGUCGGUGAGGUGGCAUACGUGGAGAUGUUCAAUGAUGAGAACAACCGACCAAGGGGCUGUGCAGUCAUCGAAUUUGAGAAUGCGGAUUUGGUGGCCAAGGCAGUCAAGGUCAUGCACAGGUUUGAGCUGAAGGGACGCAAGCUGGUCGUCAAGGAGAAAGCAGAUGAUCUCCCGCUGGCCUACUUGUCACAGGCCCGCAUGGGGAAUAGAAUGCAGGGUGGACCUUCACGGCAAGACUUUGACUCAGAUCGGGACCGCCGCAUGAUGAAAUCUGAUAUGCGGGGCCGUGACUUUGCCAGGGGAGCAGACAUUGGGGGCCCUCCCAGCAUGGGGUCAGUGAACAAGUUCGGCAACACCUAUGGUUUGUCCACGGUGUUCCUGGAGUCCUUGGGCAUCACUGGAACCCUAGUCAACAAGGUCUUUGUGGCUAAUCUGGACUACAAGGUCGAUGACAAAAUGCUGAGGGAUGUGUUCAAGAUAGCAGGCAAGGUGGUGACUGUAGAGAUUAGCAAAGACCAGGAUGGCAAGAGUCGUGGCUUUGGAGUUGUAGAGUUUGAGCACCCAGUGGAGGCUGUUCAGGCAAUCUCCAUGUUCCACAACCAGACGUAUUAUGACCGGAAGAUGAGUGUUCGCAUGGACCGUGUCACAGAGAAGCAUGAAUCUGCUACCACCAAGCUGCCACCAGGUCUCAAGAGUGUUGGCAUGGGCCUUGGUGUCAAUGGCUCAGCCCUCACAGAUGUGGCCAAUAAUGUUCCCUCCCUUAAUCCAAGUAUCAGUGGAGGUCUUCCCAAUGCUGUAGCCACAGGGGUGUCAGCAUUGCCAGGAGUAGGUUCCAUAGCUUCAAACAUGGGCACUCUGGGCAAUCAGAAUAUGGGGAUGAUGGGCAUGGGUAACACAGGUGGCAUGGGGACAGGGCUAGCCAACAUUGGCACAGGUAUGAGUAACAUGGGAUCCAGUAUGGGCAACAUGGGCACAGGAAUGGGUAACCUGGGUAACAUUGGAUCUGGGAUGGGUAACAUGAGUGCUGGAAUGAACACCAUGGGCAAUGGUAUGGGAUCCUCCAUGAUGGGGGGCAUGGGGGGAUCUGGCAUGGGCACCUCUAGCAGCAUGGUGUCUGGGCUGACUGGCGGUGUGGGCACUGGUCUGGCGGGCAGUGGAGGGCUGGUGGGCUCCAGCAUGUCCCGAGGCAGCCUUGGCACCAGUGGGGGCGGUUACAGCUCGUAUGGUUCCUCAAGCCUCUCUCGGGACUACAAUCAUGCCAGUGGUGCCUCCAACAACAGCAGCUCCUACACUGGUGGUUACAGGAAUAUCAUCCAGCUGAGCAAUCUCCCCUUGGACUACACUUGGCAAUCCCUCCGUGACCUGUGCCGGGAGUUUGGGGACAUCAGGUUUGCUGAGAUUCGCUCAAAAGGAAUUGGGACUGUUCGCUUUCAAACUGAGGCAGAUGCAAGGAGAGCAGUCGAAAUGUUGGAUCGCCAGCGCCUGGAUGGAAGGAUUCUUGAUGUGAUCCUCUUGUAGAGAAACUGGUGAGGAGGAUGUUGAGAAGCUGAGUUGAGAGGGCCCUUUCCCCACCCGCAGGCUGGUCCCUCCACACCCACCAAACACCUGACUCAAGUCACCAUGCACUUAAAGAACAUCAGUGUUGGUGUGUGAUAAGACUCGGGAACACAUUGAUGGGGAGGGAGGCUUUGUGCCUUCCGUGGUGUUCUCUCUGUUGGGAGGUGCUGCCACAGUGCCGAGAGGCCCCAGGUACUUCAAGAGGGUGUCGGGUGUUGUCUCUCCCUCGCACACAUUGGACAUCCACUGAAAAGGAGUGUUGCAGGUGAAUGAGGCUUCAGGUGUAUGACCACGAAUCCAGGUCUCCACAGCAGGUCAAUUGGUCUUCAUCAACAUGCAUUACUAUGAUAGCAACUUUUCCGUCAUGACUGUCCAUUGAUGACAUGGCCCUGAGUGGAGGAUCGAAGGAUACCUACAGAUUCCAUGGAUGGAGCAGCCUAUUGCUGUUGUAUUGACAUGGUGUUGUUGGAGACAUGCUCACUGGAACCAAGAAGUGCAGGUAGCAGGUGGGUGAAAUUGGUCAUUAAUUAGGUGUAGGAAUUGUUGAUUGUCCUACUAAUAAAGACUUGCAAAUCAUUAGCUAUUUCAACCUAUUUGUGUUUUCCAUGGACUUGGAUUCAUGGAAAGGCCACAUAAAUUAAAUUUAACUCGUAUGAGAAAUACUCGGUGGAAGCAUUCUAUAAGCAUUAAAAGCAGGAAUGCACUGGAUUGAAAGUUAAUGGAACACAUUAUACUAGUAUGAAUGGUGAAUAUAGUGAAUGGUGAAGAAAUGGAGGAGGUCAAUGAGUUUAAGUACCUUGGAUCAGUUAUGUGUAAGCAUGGUGGUAUGGAGGGAGAGAAAAGAGAAAGGGCAUUGCAAGGAAGAAGGGUGGUAGGGUCUUUGGGACGAAUCAUGAAUGGCAGAAGUGUGAGCAUGGAGGUAAAGAGGGAUUUGAGAAAUACAAAAAUAGUACCAGCCCUCACAUAUGCAAGUGAAACGUGGGCCUGGAAUGAAAGUCAGAGGUCUAGAGUGCAGGCAGUGGAAAUGAGUUAUUUGAGGAGUGCUUGUGGUGUGAGUAGAAUGGAUGGAAUGAGUAAUGAAAGUGUGUACGAGCGUUUUGGAAUGUGUCACAGGGGUGAAGGGAAGAAGUGCGGAGUGGUGGAAGAAGUGAAGCGACAGACUUUAAAGUGGUUUGGCCACAUGGAGCGAAUGGAGGAGAGUAAGAUGACCAGAAGCGUGUAUAUGAGUGAGAUUGAGGGAGGGAAUGGUAGAGGACGACCUCCAGUGAAAUGGAGAGAUAAGGUGCAAUAAUACGUUAGGGAGAGGGGGGAAAGAUCUUUGAGAAACUUUGAGCAGGCAAGGAGGGAGUGUCUGGAUAGAGAAAGUUAGAUGCUCUUCUGCCAUGGCCAUCCCCUGGUGGGAGCUCCUAGGAGCAGGUGUCAAUGAAAUGAAUGAAUGAAUUAUACUAGUAAUGUAAUACAAAUCCACCAGCCUUAGCGCCUAACUUCGUUGUGUCAUCAGGAUCAUGUUUAGUGCAUGAUGUGUUGCUGGUUCAAACGGUUCAUGGUGGUUGGAUUGUCACCCUGAUCUGAAGGUGCUAACACCACAUCCUUGUUUUGGGGUUCAUUUGGUUUUUCUUAUGUGAAGAACGAGGGUGAGUUUGCCCUUGCUAUUCUCAAUGCCUCACAUAUUAUAUGAGGCAGUGAGAAUAGAAAGGGCAAAUUUGCCAAAAGAGAGUAUUGAGAAAACUCCAAAUCCAAGCAUUCUACACUACAGUUGGGCUGGGGAAGCCAGAUAAACUUGUCUUCUUUACCUGCUCUUUUCACCAAGAAAGAGAUGAAAUCACCAUCUCUUGACAUAGAAGAAAUUAUUGUGCUUAUAAUGGUAUCUAAAAUUUCUAUGUUGGUGAGUUCACCCUUUCUAUUGAGUGCCUCAUAUAUGAGUAAGUGGGUUCACAUUGUCCUUUGACAAAUACUUGCUUGUGAUUGUGCACAAUGAACACUUUGUCUGAAGGAGGUAGAAUGGGAUAUGGAGGAUGUUGUAGUAGCUGGGUGCUACCAUAGUAUCCUUCAUCUAUCAUAUCUGUAAACAGCCACUAAACCUCAAAUCAACAAUAUACAACUGUUAGCAUGUUGACAGUUCAUCCACUGUAAAAUAUUUAAGGCAGCUAAGAGUGGUCCUGAUAUGUAUUACAGUGGAGACUCAAUACUAGAACUUAAUUCGUUCCAAAUGGCUGUUCGAGUAUCACAAAGUUCGACUACCGAUACCUUUAAAUCAGGUAAUUCGUUCUAAACUUAAGUUCUAACCUUAACAAAGCCUUAAGUUUACAAAAAUUUCAAUGUAAAUUUUUUUAUUAUUUUGAUUUGUACUUACCGUAAGUGAAGGCAGGUGAUGGAUAACGUAGAAGAGGAGGGGAGAAGGGUGGGGAGGAGGAGGAAGGUUAUUCGUCGGAGGACGAGUCACCGUCUGGUAACUCGUCUCCUGGUGUGAUUCCUGUGAACCCACUAGUGGAGGGCUGUGGCUCACUAACACUUGCACUCUCACUAGAUUCCUUUUUCAACAAGAAUCUGUCUAAUGUGAUCUGCCUUUGCCUUUUUUUCAAAAUGUCUCUGAAAUGCUGCAUCAAAUUUUCAUCAAACUGGUUUAUGUUUCUGUGUAUGGCAGCAAUAUCAGGGUGGCACCUCUCCAAAAAGUUUCCCAACUCUGUCCACUGCCGCAAAUACUUCUUGAUCUCUGCAGUGGAGACUUUCCUUGCUGUUCCCCUCCUCCUCCCCUGAAGACAGCUCCUCAGUUACCUCCUGCAGCUGUUCCUGGUGAAGUUGACACAGCUCAUCAGUGGUGAGGUCUUCAGAGUGUGCUUGCACCAGCUCCUUCACAUCAUCACUGUCCACCUCAAUGCCUAUGGCCCUCCCCAGAGAUACAAUGUCGUCCACCACAGCAGACUCCUGGACUGAAGGCUCGAAUCCCUCAAAAUCCUUGGCUGUCACACAGGUCGGCCACAGAUUUUUCCAGGCAGACUGCAAGGAUUUUGAAAAAAAGGCAAAGGCAGAUCACAGAAACUUGACCCCAGGCUUUAUCUAUAAGCCUUAGGCAGUGGAGGAUAUUGAAGUGAUUCUUCCAAAACUCCCUCAGAGUGAGCUCUGUUUCAGAAGUCACCUCAAAGCACCUCUCAAAAAGUGCUUUUGUGUACAGCUUCUUAAAGCUGGCGAUGACAUUCUGGUCCAUGGGUUAGAUCAGUGGCGUGGUGUUGGGGGGAGGAACAUCACUUCGAUGAAUUUAUACCCCUUACCCAAUUCUUCUUCCACGCCUGGAGGGCGUGCAGGGGCAUUGUCCAUCAACAGGAGGGCCUUGAGUGGUAGAUUCUUCUCUAUUAGGUAUGUCUUCACUGCAGGUGCAAACACCUCCACAAACUACUCCAUGAAGAACUGCCUGGUUGUCCAGGCUUUCUUGUUUGCCCUCCACAUCACACUGAGUUUGCUCUUUUGCACACCGUUCUUCUUGAAUGGCCUGGUGUUUUCCGAAUGGUACACCAGCAGCGGUUUAAUUUUGCAGUCGCCGCUAGCAUUGGCGCACAGAAGCAGGGUUAGCCUGUCUUUCAUGGGCUUGUAUCCUGGCAAACACUUCUCUUCCUUUGUUAUAUAGGUCCUGUUUGGUAGUUUUUUCCAAAACAGGCCUAUCUCAUCACAAUUAAAGACCUGUUGUGGGCUUAAGCGCUCCUUAUCCACAAAUUUCUUAAAUUCAGGCACAAACUUCUUGGCAGCAACUUUGUCAGCACUUGCGGCCUCGCCGUGCCUCACAACAGAAUGAAUUCCAGUUCUCUUCUUGAAAUUCCCAAACCACCCCUUACCAGCUUUAAAAUCUUCACUGGAGUCAGAGGUAGUAUCACAAAUAAGAUCACCAUGGAGCCGCCUAGCCUUCGCAUAAAUUAUGCCCUCUGACAUAGAAUCACCAGGCAUCUGCCUUUCGUUUAUCCACACCAUCAACAAUUUUUCCAUUUCUUCCACUGCCGCAGGUCGCUUAAGUUGCUUUUUCACACCCAUCGCCACAUCAGCUCCCUUAAUGGCCUCCUUGUUCUUCAGUAUGGUGGCUACUGUAGAUCUCGCCAUACGAUACUCAGCUGCAAGAUCGGUGAUUCUUGCUCCUUUCUCGUAUUUAUCAAUAAUCUCCUUUUUCCGUUCAAUGGUCGUCACUACAUUCUUCCUUUUAGGCUUAUUUUCACCACUAAUAAGCCUCUUUGGUGCCAUUGUAAGUUUCUAAAUGAAAAACCACUGACUGCUUAUGGACCUGAUGGAGUGCCUCCAAUUGUCCUUAAAAACUGUGCCUCCGUGCUGUCACCCUGCCUGGUCAAACUCUUUCGCCUCUGCCUAUCAACAUCUACCUUUCCUUCUUGCUGGAAGUAUGCCUUCAUACAGCCUGUGCCUAAGAAGGGUGACCGCUCCAAUCCCUCAAACUACCGUCCUAUAGCUUUACUUUCUUGUUUAUCUAAAGCUUUUGAAUCAAUCCUUAACCGGAAGAUUCAAAAGCACCUUUCCACUUCUGACCUUCUAUCUGAUCGCCAGUAUGGGUUCCGCAAGGGGUGUUCUACUGGUGAUCUCCUAGCCUUCUUAACUGACUCUUGGUCAUCCUCUCUUAGCCGUUUCGGUGAAACUUUUGCUAUUGCACUGGACAUAUCAAAAGCUUUUGAUAGGGUCUGGCACAAAUCUUUGCUUUCCAAACUACCCUCCUACGGUUUCUAUCCUUCUCUCUGUACCUUUAUCUCCAGUUUCCUUUCUGACCGUUCUAUUUCUGCCGUGGUAGAUGGUCACUGUUCUUCCCCUAAAUCUAUUAACAGUGGUGUCCCACAGGGUUCUGUCCUAUCUCCCACUCUUUUUCUGUUGUUUAUUGAUGAUCUUCUUUCCAAAACGAACUGUCCUAUCCAUUCCUACGCCGAUGAUUCCACUCUGCAUUACUCAACUUCUUUUAAUAGAAGACCCACCCUACAGGAACUUAACGACUCAAGGCUGGAGGCUGCAGAACGCUUAGCCUCAGACCUUACUAUUAUUUCCGAUUGGGGCAAGAAGAACCUGGUGUCCUUCAACGCCUCAAAAACACAGUUUCUCCACCUAUCCACUUGACACAAUCUUCGAAACAACUAUCCCCUAUUCUUUGACAACGCCCAGCUAUCACCUUCCUCAACACUAAACAUCCUCGGUCUAUCCUUAACUCAAAAUCUCAACUGGAAACUUCAUAUCUCAUCCCUUACUAAAUCAGCUUCCUCGAGGCUGGGCGUUCUGUACCGUCUCUGCCAGUUCUUCUCCCCUGCACAGUUGCUGUCCAUAUACAGGGGCUUUGUCCGCCCUCGUAUGGAGUAUGCAUCUCAUGUGUGGGGGGGCUCCACUCACACAGCUCUUCUGGACAGAGUGGAGGCUAAGGCUCUUCGUCUCAUCAGCUCUCCUCCUCAUACCGAUAGUCUUCUACCUCUUAAAUUCCGCCGUAAUGUUGCCUCUCUUUCUAUCUUCUAUCGAUAUUUCCACGCUGACUGCUCUUCUGAACUUGCUAAACUGCAUGCCUCCCCCCCUCCCGCGGCCCCGCUGCACUCAACUUUCUACUCAUGCUCAUCCCUAUACUGUCCAAACCCCUUAUGCAAGAGUUAACCAGCAUCUUCACUCUUUCAUCCCUCACGCUGGUAAACUCUGGAACAAUCUUCCUUCAUCUGUAUUUCCUCCUGCCUACGACUUGAACUCUUUCAAGAGGAGGGUAUCAGGACACCUCUCCUGUAUUUGAUCUUGCUUUCGGCCACCUCUUUUGUUUCUUUUUUAGGAGCAGCGAGUAGCGGGCUUUUUUUAUUAUUGUUUUCUUUUUUUGUGUGCCCUUGAGCUGCCUCCUUUGUUGUAUAAAAAAAAAAAAAAAGAGAGAAUGUUGUUGUUCUCACGACCACGGCGGGACAACUGGCAGCGGCGGGGAGGGAGAGGCCAGGAGCCUUUGUUUACAACCACAUGUGCGGACGUUCAAGUACCAGAUAUUUUUUUGAGUACCAAGUCGAACUUUUGCGUUCGAGUAUCGAAAAAUUCGACUUCCAAGAUGUUCGAGUAUUGAGUCUUCACUGUAUAAGAAAACGCUGACAAAACUAAGAAAAGCACUAAAGAUAAGGGUAGUUGUUUAUUUAACUCUGAAGGCCUGCACCAUUUGGGACCUUCCCAUGAGGGGGUGGCCAUGGCAGGAAAAUUGCCAGUUUCCUCUCUAUACACUAUAUUUUUAAGUUUCACACAUCUUGUCUCACCCAUCCAUCCACCUUACUGUCAGUCUCCCUACCAUAUCUUCUCUUAUUAGAUUAAAAAACUCCCAGAAUAACAUCACAACACCUGUCCACCCAUACCUGUUGGUUUGGUAUUCGUGGAUUCACACAUUUGUGGAUUUCCCCCAAACUUCACAAAGGCGGCCUCAGAUGAAUUUUCGCAGUGCCACUUCAAACAUUUAUGGUCUGCCCUCAGAUUAUUUUUCUGUUCCUUAGAAAAGAAUGAUGCAUACAUGCAUAAAGCAGCAUAAAUUAACAUCAGUAGCAUUAUUCAUCAGCUAUAUGACUGUAUUGUUCUGUAAUUUACAUAAACCUCUUACCAAUUUGAAGCGCCAGGUGCAGAAGGGGCUCAACCCACACACCAGCGAUUUUCUAGUUUUUCACGUGAAAUUAUUGCAUCGCCUUUCCUCUUUCACCAGAAGCAGUGGUUCUUAAAGUUGUUCAGCCCCAGUACCCCAAAGUUCAACUCCAAGUCAACCUGAUAACCCCUAUCCAAUAUUAGACUACUACUCCCAACUUUUAACUUUUAAUUUCCUGUAAAAUAAAGAAAAAACAGGACGACUAUUCAGUACAGUUAUGGUCCGUUUCAUUCCAUCUGUCCACUCGUGAACGAAGAUGUGGCAACUGCGCAUUGUUAGUUCAUGAUUGCGUGAAGAUCAACAUUUUAUUUUCAGUGAUACAUUUGAAUGUUUGUGUAUAGAAAGAACUCUCAUGCCAUCUUAUAUAAAGAGCAAACAUGCCAAUUUGCAUCGAUGAUAUACCAUACAAGCACACGAAAGACAAGCUUUCAUCAGACAGUUCAGUCAGAUCAUACUUGAAUGAUUCAUAGCCUUUCAAAAUACCUAUAAUUCAUCUCAUUGCAGGUACAUAAAAAGCCAUCUGGCUCUGUAAGUGCCUGUAUAUAUAAGGAAUUUUGAUUUGUUGCAUGUAAACAACAUGGGUUGUAUUGAAAUAGCCUAGCAUGACAUUCAGCAGUUAAUAGUUACCGUUUCAUAUAAUUUAGAAUAUUAAUCAUUAUUUACAUGCGGUAAAUUAUUAAAACGUCUUUUAUUUGCACUUGCACUUGUCUUUUAAUUUACCUGAAAUGAGAUGAAUAACAGGCAUUUGAAAGGCCAUAGAUCGUUCGAGUGUAAUCUGACUAUAGUGUUUGAUACAAGCUUGUUUUUUCAUGUGCUAGUGUGGUGUAUUAUCGAUGAUAAUCGGCAUGUUUGGGAUUUAUAAGGAGUAAGUUUUUUUUAUUUUUUUUUUUUA